GUAGGUGGCGAGCGUUGUCCGGAAUUAUUGGGGCGUAAAGCGCGCGCAGGCGGUUCUUUAAGUCUGAUGUGAAAGCCCACGGGCUCAACCGUGGAGGGUCAUUGGAAACUGGAGAACUUGAGUACAGAAGAGGGAAGCGGAAUUCCACGUGUAGCGGUGAAAUGCGUAGAGAUGUGGAGGAACACCAGUGGCGAAGGCGGCUUUCUGGUCUGUAACUGACGCUGAGGCGCGAAAGCGUGGGGAGCAAACAGGAUUAGAUACCCUGGUAGUCCACGCCGUAAACGAUGAGUGCUAAGUGUUAGGGGGUUUCCGCCCCUUAGUGCUGCAGCUAACGCAUUAAGCACUCCGCCUGGGGAGUACGGCCGCAAAGGCUGA
rnacentral:rRNA from 1 species